AACCGGCUCUACCCCCUCCCUCCCCCGCCGCCAUCGACCAGCGAGAGAUCGCCCGCCGCCGCGAGCAGGAGCGCCGCCGCAGAGAGGCGAUGGCCGACACCAUCGAUAUAAACUUCCAGAGCGACCUGAUGGCCAUCUUUGAGGAGAAUCUGUUCUGAGAGGAGGACCUACACACACACACACACACACCUCUCUCAGUGGCUGAACAGCUGGCUUGUGUCACGUGACGAGAGCGGGAUCGUUUGGUGUUUACGGGAAAUAAUCAAAUCUGCGGAUUAAAAACUUUUACACUUUUAGAGAAAACAGAGAAACGAUGGCGAAGAAGAGGAGUUAAUUUAAUGAUGAAUAUUGUGUGAAGUGUGAGGGGGGGAGUGUUUCCUCACACACACACACACUUUUGUAAGACCCACCUCCUGCUAAUGGUCUCUAAUUGGAGCAGCGCUGAGAGGCCUGUAAACCCUACAAAUUAUACAUAUUAUAUAUAUAAAUAGAUACAUGAAUAUAUAUUAUAUACGACGAAACGUCACCAUCGCGAGAGGAGCUUGAAUUGGGGGGGGUCUCGGAGUUUGAUUUUGUAGAGAUUUACUGUAAAGAACUUUUUUAUCGAGAGGAUGGUGUCUGCGUUUCUCUCUAUGCCAAAUCCCAUCUGAGUGCUGACCGUCACCUUUUCUACAUUUAAACUUCUUUUCACUUUAUAUUAAAGGUUUUUAUUGAUAUUUAAUUUCCUCCCCUUUUCAAACCGGACCCCAGGAAGCGGCCCGAGUUUCUGCAGCGCUUUUAUUUUGAUGUUUUAUCUGUAUCAUAGCUUCCUGCUUGUCUUCCCGUGUGCCAUCGUGUUUCCUGUCGUUUGCAGAUCCUAGAAUCCAUCUUUUUUAUUUCUCCCCUGUUUUUCAAAUGUGAUGUUUUGAUUCCUCUUCCUGUUCCCUGCGGUUAACUUCCUGUUGGUUUGUUGGAGAGCGAUGCGUCUGGGGUCAAUAGAUUCAUCUUGUUCACAUCUUUUUUUAAGAAAAGUAUUAAAAUAAUAUUUAAAAACUAA